rnacentral:lncRNA from 1 species
GCUGGGUGUGGUGGCGCGUGCCUGUUGUCCCAGCUACUUGGGAGGCUGAGGCAGGAGGACCACUUGAGCCCAGGAGUUCUGGGCAGUAGUGCGCUGUGCCGAUCUGGUGUCUGCAUUAACUUUGGCAUCGAUAUAGUGACCUCCCAGGAGCAGAAGACCAGCAGGUUGCCUAAGGAGGGGUGAACCAGCCCCAGUCAGAAACAGAGCAGAUCAAAACUCCUGUACUGAUCAGUAGUGGGAUCACGCCUGUGAAUAGCCUGGGUAACAUAGCCACGUCCCAUCUCU